rnacentral:rRNA from 1 species
GGGUGUGAACAUACUAGCAGUAAUGCACCGGAUCCCAUCAUAACUCCGCAGUGAAGCGUGCAUAGGCAGAGUAGUACUAAGAUGGCUGACCUCCUGGGAAGUCCUCGUGUUCCACCCC